AAUAGCAACAUUGUUCAAAUGUAAACAACCGCCAUUAAAACACACAUCAAAUCAAAAAUUUAUUCGACAAUUCAAAAAAGAUAAGAUGUGUGCGAAAAUUACAAGGGAAGAUGAAAAACGAAUAGCUCUAAUUGAAGCUAAAAAUGAGUUUUAAAACAAAAGUAGUCCAUACUACAAGCUGUAAUCCUGAAAAGAUGCUUUGUGGCAGGAAAUUGGGAAAGAAAUGAAUGCAGAUGAGGAUAAAUGUGCCGCCGUAGACGGCUAGCACUUUCGGAUCGAUACGGGAGGAAAGUGCAAAAGGCUAACGCCCCUCAGGCAGCGGAUUAGAAUUUUUAAGCAGUGGCAUUUGUUCGAUUCGAUGAAGUUUUUGAAGCUACACAUUUUACCACGACCGGCUAGAUUUUCGCAAAAUAUUUAUGAAACCGUAACUCCAGUGCUACCUGCUGUCGCUGUUCAGGCCGAAUCGCAAUCGCAAUCACCAGCUGACGCAGUUCAAUUGCUGUCACAAGGCCAUGCGCACGGGGUGCAAGUGCCAUCACUAUUAUGGUCCUUGUCACCAUUACGCCCUAUCUCGGUAUCGUUGCUUCCACCAUCGCCUCGAUAAACCGUCACCAACUCCCUCCACGUCAACCUCGCUGCCUUCACCGUCCUGCUCUACGCAAGUGACCACCCAAAAGGGUAGAAAACGAGGGUCAUUCACUAGUGAGGUUGACCAAAAUAUAAUGGAAGUAAUUGAGGAAAACAGAUGGUCAUCCAUCCAGGAAACCCAACAACAACCAACCGCAAACCCGGCUAUACAGGCCAUCAGUAAUUUGGUGGUUUCUAUGUUAAAUAAAAUGAGUGAAGAGAAGCAAACCAGAUUAAUUCAAAAAAUUAUGCAAGCUGCAUUUGAAGUGCAACAGGAGCCGCAGUAUAGUUUAUAAAUAGAUAUUUAUAUAAAAUUAGAUUUAAUACAGUUAUGAAUUUGUUAUUUUUAAAUUAUUAAUUUAGUUGUAUUUGUUUUGAUUUUUGAAAAAAUUAAAUUCAUGAAGUUAAAAAAAUUAGUAAUUAUUUCUAAUAAGGUUAAACAUAUGGUCCUCC